rnacentral:piRNA from 1 species
CUCCUGGACUACCGUGAAGAUGGUG